CUUCAGGUUUAAAUUUGUAAGGCUCAGUCAGGAGGAAAAAGUGUGCUAACAGCUGCAGGAAGCACCCCCGGAGAGGGCCUAAUACCUAAUAUAUUAUAAUAAUAAUAUACAAUAAUGUAAUAGAUUUCGGUCAAAAACGCGGCAUAGUGAGAAAAUUUGGCGAGAAAUUAAGCAGGUUGAUUCUAUUAGCUAAUUUUCACGAAAAAGCGUCUAACAGCACUGAUAGUGGAUCGGGUAGAUCUGUUGGGACACGUUAAGGAUCAUCGGGUAAAGUCUGCCAAAUAGAAACACGAUGCGGUCACGGAUAGCCUUAAUAUGAGGACACAAAAUUUGCAUCUAACUGCUUUUCGGUAAAUCCUAUAGUCCUCAAUGGUUGGGAAGACGGGACAGACGGGGAAGUUGGGGACUAUCUCUGACGAGAUAGUGUUCUGCUAUUAUAGGCCAACAAUAUCGAGCAAUUGCAUUAUAAUGGUGGCUGACCUACGAUUUAAACUAAAAUGCGAGCGUGCGAUGCGUGCUUUUGAACUAAUUUACCGGUUUGAUUUUUAUUUCAUUUUCAACACGGAAGUCCUUCGUAACGAGUUCAGUUAAAUAAAUAUUUCUUUCGGAAAAUGAUACGUGUCUGCGGAAUUUGAACAUCGGCAUAUUCAAUCUUAAAGAAUGGUCAGCCAGAUGUAUUCCACCUGAACUGUUCGAGCUGAAUCCACACUCCCGCCCACCUGGUUUCAAAGAAAAACGCCCAAUCUGGUGCGUGCUUAACCACCUGAGAACGGGAGUUGGUCACUGUAAUCAACUGCGGAAGAGAUGGGGCUGGACGGAAAACGAAUGCGGAUGCCCAGAGCAAAUUAUACGCCACAUUGUCAUGGAAUGCCCACUAACGAGAUUCGCAAGCCAAGUGGAAGAUCUCAAAAAUGUAACAGAAGAAGCUAUCGAUUAUUUCACAAAAUGUAAAUUUAAAUUAUAACCACGCAGUGUAAACGAAUGCCAUACGAUAAAUAAAUAAAAUAAAAUCUU